rnacentral:rRNA from 1 species
GGAUUAGAUACCCUGGUAGUCCACGCCGUAAACGAUGCACACUAGAUCGGGGCCGUUCUGACACGGUCCCGGUCGAAGGAAAACUGUUAAGUACGCCGCCUGGGGAGUACGGUCGCAAGGCUAAAACUCAAAGGAAUUGACGGGGGCUCACACAAGCGGUGGAGCAUGUGGCUUAAUUCGAAGCAACGCGAAGAACCUUAUCCAGGGUUUGACAUGUAUGGAUUAACUCGAUGAAAGUCGAGCCACGCUCUUUGAGUGGAACAUACACAGGUGCUGCAUGGCUGUCGUCAGCUCGUGUCG